GACUUGCAUGUAUUGGGAACAACCCCAUAGUGCUACGGUGCCAAGCUACGCUGCGUGGUUUACACUCUCUUUGUAAAAUCUCAUGAUAAAAAAAAUAUUUCUCGCACAACAACAAAAACAAAUUCAACCUCGAAAAAUAGCUUGCCUUGGUGAAGGCUGUAUUGAAGGUAAAGGGAGUGUUCUUUUGAUUUAGUAUCAUAUUUCGUUCCUGUCCUGACUGAACUGUCUUUUAAACUUGAACCAUAUUUAUCAUAUAUGCAUUUUCUGGAAAUAAGCUUACGAUGCAUCGAGUAGUGGUCCUGAGUUUAUUCAUCAUAUUGCUUCUCUUCGGCUCUGGCUACAGCCUAGAUGAUCGACAUACGGGGGCAAGAUUGUAUGAUCAGCAAACUGUGGAAGAAAUGAGGGCAUCCCCGCUCAUCAGAAAGAUGAAAAGAUCCAUUGACGACUUUUUGAGCAGACGCCCAGAUUUCAGAAGAGUACGACAACCUGUCGCCCUGUAGAGCAGACAUGGAAAUCGCGAUUUCUACCUUGGCUCUUCCGGAACCAUCAUGCUAUUAGGAUUGUUCAUUUUGACCAAAACAAUAACAGCUGAGCAGAUGAUAGAAAGACAUUUACGAUGCCCAUGAUAAUUUCUAUGUAGAGUAAGAAUGGAGGCUAUAAUGUAAAAAAAAAGAAAAAUAAAGAUAUCAAUAUCUUAAGGUGUUCAAUAUGUAUAUCACAA
rnacentral:lncRNA from 1 species